AGCAGUCGCCACGGUAAAACGUAGGUGGCAAGCGUUGUCCGGAAUUAUUGGGCGUAAAGGGCUCGCAGGCGGUUUCUUAAGUCUGAUGUGAAAGCCCCCGGCUCAACCGGGGAGGGUCAUUGGAAACUGGGAAACUUGAGUGCAGAAGAGGAGAGUGGAAUUCCACGUGUAGCGGUGAAAUGCGUAGAGAUGCGGAGGAACACCAGUGGCGAAGGCGACUCUCUGGUCUGUAACUGACGCUGAGGAGCGAAAGCGUGGGGAGCGAACAGGAUUAGAUACCCGCGUAGUCCCUGUCUCUUAUAC
rnacentral:rRNA from 1 species